rnacentral:rRNA from 1 species
AUUGAACGCUGGCGGCAUGCCUUACACAUGCAAGUCGAACGGCAGCACGGGAGCAAUCCUGGUGGCGAGUGGCGAACGGGUGAGUAAUAUAUCGGAACGUGCCCAGUCGUGGGGGAUAACGUAGCGAAAGCUACGCUAAUACCGCAUACGAUCUAUGGAUGAAAGCGGGGGAUCGCAAGACCUCGCGCGAUUGGAGCGGCCGAUAUCAGAUUAGGUAGUUGGUGAGGUAAAGGCUCGCCAAGCGACGAUCUGUAGCUGGUCUGAGAGGACGGACCAGCCACACUGGGACUGAGACA